AGAUGGCAUCCAGGCAUCAGAGGAGGGAGCAGCGCGUCCAACAGACGUGAGCUGAGACUGCAGCUCUUGACAUGUGACCUUAGCAAGUUUCUUCACUGCUCUGAGCCUCCAUUUUCUUUUCUGUAAAAUGGGAAUUAUCAGAUGACAAAGUCAAAGGAUUCAGUGUUGUUUGUUUAGUCAUUCAUUCAUUCAAUAAGUGUCUGUUGAGCACCUGCUAUGCGUCGGAGUCUGGGGGGCACAGCAGGGGGUGGACAUGCUAAUGGGAGGAGGCAGACGAGAACAGGAUGGGUAUGAGAUGGCAGGUGAUCCCAGAGGCUGUAGCAGGUCCCCGGCAACUUCCACGUGUCCACACACAGUGCCACAGCCCAGCCACAGAACCCAGACAUGACGCAUGUCAUCCACAAGCUCUCCUUUGGGGACACGCUACAGGUCCAGAACAUCCACGGAGCUUUCAAUGCUCUCGGGGGAGCAGACAGACUCACCUCCAACCCCCUGGCCUCCCACGACUACAUCCUGAAGAUUGUGCCCACGGUUUAUGAGGACAAGAGUGGCAAGCAGCGGUACUC
rnacentral:sRNA from 1 species